ensembl:lncRNA
CACACACACACACACACACACGCACACACACACACACACACACACACACACACACACACACACACACACACACACACACACACACACACACACACACACACACACAUACUCUAUUUACUAAAACCAUCAUAGGCUAGCUGUCCAACCACUUUCCCUUCAGACUGGAAGCAUGAGGAAGACAUGAGGAACAGAGAGAUGAAUUGACAUGGCUGCCGUGAGAUUACGGCUACUUGUGACAUGAACACAAAGAUUAGAAGAAGAUGCAAGGAAGUUAUACUUCUUUGACUUUGAAAGGUAUUACAUGGUUCGCGUUGAUUUGAAGAAACAGAAGGAAUACUUUAAAGUUUGUUUUAGUCCAAAUUUGUUAAAAUUUGUGUCGAAUAUAAUCUGUAAUUGAUUCUCCAGGUGAAUUCAUCACAAACGUUGAGUGCGUGCUAGUCUUUUAGUUGUUGAGAGUUGAUUCUGGCUCCCGACGCUGCACACGCUCAUUGUUGCCAUGUCCAUCAUGAACUUUACCCUCCCGCUCCAUGCACCGGAGCGGGCUAGCUGCUAGCUCUGGUGAAUGGCAUUUUGAGUUGUCAUUAGCUCCCUGACAGCACUGCCAGUGCUGCUCAGAGAGGGCGUGCCUGGCCCCGUCGCCAUGGCUGCGGCUGUCCCCUCGGUGACUGGCUGCCAUCUCCACAUGACUGGAUGAGGUCCCUCUCAUGUGCAGCGGCAACAUACGCAUGAACAUAAGCAGGCUUAAGUAUUGCACACAGUGAAGAGUGAUCCAGUAAUUGCCCACUUGCUUAUUGAAAUAACCCAACGCUGCUCCGACGUCAAAUAGGUUUUACUUUUUCAAGGCAAUCUUUUAAGUCCAUAACCUUCGGUCAAUAUUUGAGUGAAUACUCAAGAUAAUGUUCAAGAUAAUGUUAACGUUAAACAAAAGGCUAAGUACAACUUCCUCGCCUCGCAACGAUGCCACCCAGAACCUAUCAAUGGAAGUGCAAACAAAUGACAGCAGGACCCCCUAAGAGCCAGAAGAAUGUAAAGUCAAUGUUUUAGUACGAGAGCACGAUCGCUCAGACUCAGAGUAGGUGUCAGUCGAGGACUCAACAUUACUGGAGGAAGAUUGGAAUAUUAAGACCUAGAGAGAGAGAGAGAGAGAGAGAGAGAGAGAGAGAGAGAGAGAGAGAGAGAGAGAGAGAGAGAGAGAGAACGAGCAAAUUAGAUUGACAAUAAGAUGGAAGGAAUUCAAAGAACCCUGCAGAAGGGGAGAAAGGUUUGAGACCUCUCAGGUGCCUGUGUGUUUGAGCUUGACCUUUGUUCUCCAGCCUUGAGACUGAUCCUGAGACAACAUCAAUUCACAGACCAGAAAACCAGAACCCUAUAAAACAGAAGCCCAGAAAGAGAGGUGUUGUAGUAAAACAGAGAGGCCACCUUGACCAAAAGCCACCGUCCUGUCCUCAGAGCUAACCGACCAAUAACCCGUGAUUCACAUAAAGAGAGACAGACAGAGACACCUGUGCCACUACAAAGCAGCUCUUUACCCCUCUCAGGGACAAAAACAUAACGAUGUCGGCGAGGAGCAAGAAGAACGAGAAAAGCAACUACGGCAAGAAGAGGUACGGAGCGUUUGGCCAAAGCGACAAACAUGUGAGAUUCACCCACUGACCCGCCGACAACUAUUUCACCCCAUAGGACAGCGGCCAACUCUCGCCCCAAUCUACGCACAUCCAAAGCAUUGCUUUCCGAGUCCUGUGCUGCGAUGAGAAGGCCCCUGGGAACGAGGGUACGGACAACUAAUCCCUCCUCAUGACAUCCUCGUCCUGCGUCAUCCCCACUUUCCUCGAGCGAUGGGCAUUCUGGCCCGGUCGCAUAACCC